GAUGAACGCUGGCGGCGUGCCUAAUACAUGCAAGUCGAGCGAACAGACGAGGAGCUUGCUCCUCUGACGUUAGCGGCGGACGGGUGAGUAACACGUGGAUAACCUACCUAUAAGACUGGGAUAACUUCGGGAAGCCGGAGCUAAUACCGGAUAAUAUAUUGAACCGCAUGGUUCAAUAGUGAAAGACGGUUUUGCUGUCACUUAUAGAUGGAUCCGCGCCGCAUUAGCUAGUUGGUAAGGUAACGGCUUACCAAGGCGACGAUGCGUAGCCGACCUGAGAGGGUGAUCGGCCACACUGGAACUGAGACACGGUCCAGACUCCUACGGGAGGCAGCAGUAGGGAAUCUUCCGCAAUGGGCGAAAGCCUGACGGAGCAACGCCGCGUGAGUGAUGAAGGUCUUCGGAUCGUAAAGCUCUGUUAUUAGGGAAGAACAAAUGUGUAAGUAACUAUGCACGUCUUGACGGUACCUAAUCAGAAAGCCACGGCUAACUACGUG
rnacentral:rRNA from 1 species